GGUGGCGACCGGCGCACGGGUGCGUAACGCGUAUGCAACCUACCUCUUACUGGGGAAUAGCCCGAAGAAAUUCGGAUUAAUGCCCCAUAUGCUCGUACGGCCUCAUGGUCGAGCGAGGAAAGCUCCGGCGGUAAGAGAUGGGCAUGCGUCCUAUUAGCUUGUUGGUGAGGUAAUGGCUCACCAAGGCUACGAUAGGUAGGGGGCCUGAGAGGGUGGACAGCCACAUUGGGACUGAGACACGGCCCAAACUCC
rnacentral:rRNA from 1 species